rnacentral:rRNA from 1 species
CAGUUGUUCCGCCAGGAGCACCGCUGAGUAGCUACGUUUGGAAGAGAUAAGCACUGAAAGCAUAUAAGUGCGAAACUCGCCUCAAGAUGAGACAUCUUUUAAGGGUCGUUGGAGAUGACGACGUUGAUAGGCUACAGGUGUAAAGUUGGUAACAGCAUAGCCGAGUAGUACUAAUUACCCGUAGAUUUAUAGCCU